UUAAGCGACUAAGCGUACACGGUGGAUGCCCUGGCAGUCAGAGGCGAUGAAGGACGUGCUAAUCUGCGAUAAGCGUCGGUAAGGUGAUAUGAACCGUUAUAACCGGCGAUUUCCGAAUGGGGAAACCCAGUGUGUUUCGACACACUAUCAUUAACUGAAUCCAUAGGUUAAUGAGGCGAACCGGGGGAACUGAAACAUCUAAGUACCCCGAGGAAAAGAAAUCAACCGAGAUUCCCCCAGUAGCGGCGAGCGAACGGGGAGCAGCCCAGAGCCUGAAUCAGUGUGUGUGUUAGUGGAAGCGUCUGGAAAGGCGCGCGAUACAGGGUGACAGCCCCGUACACAAAAAUGCACAUGCUGUGAGCUCGAUGAGUAGGGCGGGACACGUGGUAUCCUGUCUGAAUAUGGGGGGACCAUCCUCCAAGGCUAAAUACUCCUGACUGACCGAUAGUGAACCAGUACCGUGAGGGAAAGGCGAAAAGAACCCCGGCGAGGGGAGUGAAAAAGAACCUGAAACCGUGUACGUACAAGCAGUGGGAGCACGCUUAGGCGUGUGACUGCGUACCUUUUGUAUAAUGGGUCAGCGACUUAUAUUCUGUAGCAAGGUUAACCGAAUAGGGGAGCCGAAGGGAAACCGAGUCUUAACUGGGCGUUAAGUUGCAGGGUAUAGACCCGAAACCCGGUGAUCUAGCCAUGGGCAGGUUGAAGGUUGGGUAACACUAACUGGAGGACCGAACCGACUAAUGUUGAAAAAUUAGCGGAUGACUUGUGGCUGGGGGUGAAAGGCCAAUCAAACCGGGAGAUAGCUGGUUCUCCCCGAAAGCUAUUUAGGUAGCGCCUCGUGAAUUCAUCUCCGGGGGUAGAGCACUGUUUCGGCAAGGGGGUCAUCCCGACUUACCAACCCGAUGCAAACUGCGAAUACCGGAGAAUGUUAUCACGGGAGACACACGGCGGGUGCUAACGUCCGUCGUGAAGAGGGAAACAACCCAGACCGCCAGCUAAGGUCCCAAAGUCAUGGUUAAGUGGGAAACGAUGUGGGAAGGCCCAGACAGCCAGGAUGUUGGCUUAGAAGCAGCCAUCAUUUAAAGAAAGCGUAAUAGCUCACUGGUCGAGUCGGCCUGCGCGGAAGAUGUAACGGGGCUAAACCAUGCACCGAAGCUGCGGCAGCGACACUAUGUGUUGUUGGGUAGGGGAGCGUUCUGUAAGCCUGUGAAGGUGUGCUGUGAGGCAUGCUGGAGGUAUCAGAAGUGCGAAUGCUGACAUAAGUAACGAUAAAGCGGGUGAAAAGCCCGCUCGCCGGAAGACCAAGGGUUCCUGUCCAACGUUAAUCGGGGCAGGGUGAGUCGACCCCUAAGGCGAGGCCGAAAGGCGUAGUCGAUGGGAAACAGGUUAAUAUUCCUGUACUUGGUGUUACUGCGAAGGGGGGACGGAGAAGGCUAUGUUGGCCGGGCGACGGUUGUCCCGGUUUAAGCGUGUAGGCUGGUUUUCCAGGCAAAUCCGGAAAAUCAAGGCUGAGGCGUGAUGACGAGGCACUACGGUGCUGAAGCAACAAAUGCCCUGCUUCCAGGAAAAGCCUCUAAGCAUCAGGUAACAUCAAAUCGUACCCCAAACCGACACAGGUGGUCAGGUAGAGAAUACCAAGGCGCUUGAGAGAACUCGGGUGAAGGAACUAGGCAAAAUGGUGCCGUAACUUCGGGAGAAGGCACGCUGAUAUGUAGGUGAAGUCCCUCGCGGAUGGAGCUGAAAUCAGUCGAAGAUACCAGCUGGCUGCAACUGUUUAUUAAAAACACAGCACUGUGCAAACACGAAAGUGGACGUAUACGGUGUGACGCCUGCCCGGUGCCGGAAGGUUAAUUGAUGGGGUNNNNNNNNNNGCGAAGCUCUUGAUCGAAGCCCCGGUAAACGGCGGCCGUAACUAUAACGGUCCUAAGGUAGCGAAAUUCCUUGUCGGGUAAGUUCCGACCUGCACGAAUGGCGUAAUGAUGGCCAGGCUGUCUCCACCCGAGACUCAGUGAAAUUGAACUCGCUGUGAAGAUGCAGUGUACCCGCGGCAAGACGGAAAGACCCCGUGAACCUUUACUAUAGCUUGACACUGAACAUUGAGCCUUGAUGUGUAGGAUAGGUGGGAGGCUUUGAAGUGUGGACGCCAGUCUGCAUGGAGCCGACCUUGAAAUACCACCCUUUAAUGUUUGAUGUUCUAACGUUGACCCGUAAUCCGGGUUGCGGACAGUGUCUGGUGGGUAGUUUGACUGGGGCGGUCUCCUCCUAAAGAGUAACGGAGGAGCACGAAGGUUGGCUAAUCCUGGUCGGACAUCAGGAGGUUAGUGCAAUGGCAUAAGCCAGCUUGACUGCGAGCGUGACGGCGCGAGCAGGUGCGAAAGCAGGUCAUAGUGAUCCGGUGGUUCUGAAUGGAAGGGCCAUCGCUCAACGGAUAAAAGGUACUCCGGGGAUAACAGGCUGAUACCGCCCAAGAGUUCAUAUCGACGGCGGUGUUUGGCACCUCGAUGUCGGCUCAUCACAUCCUGGGGCUGAAGUAGGUCCCAAGGGUAUGGCUGUUCGCCAUUUAAAGUGGUACGCGAGCUGGGUUUAGAACGUCGUGAGACAGUUCGGUCCCUAUCUGCCGUGGGCGCUGGAGAACUGAGGGGGGCUGCUCCUAGUACGAGAGGACCGGAGUGGACGCAUCACUGGUGUUCGGGUUGUCAUGCCAAUGGCACUGCCCGGUAGCUAAAUGCGGAAGAGAUAAGUGCUGAAAGCAUCUAAGCACGAAACUUGCCCCGAGAUGAGUUCUCCCUGACUCCUUGAGAGUCCUGAAGGAACGUUGAAGACGACGACGUUGAUAGGCCGGGUGUGUAAGCGCAGCGAUGCGUUGAGCUAACCGGUACUAAUGAACCGUGAGGCUUAACCUU
rnacentral:rRNA from 1 species